UACGUAGGGCGCAAGCGUUGUCCGGAAUUAUUGGGCGUAAAGAGCUCGUAGGUGGCUUGUCACGUCGGGUGUGAAAGCUUGGGGCUUAACUCGGUGCUUGCUUUCGAUACGGGCAGACUGGAGGUAUGCAGGGGAGAACGGAAUUCCUGGUGUAGCGGUGAAAUGCGCAGAUAUCAGGAGGAACACCGGUGGCGAAAGCGGCUUCCUGGUCCAGCACCGACGUUCAGGCACGAAAGCGUGGGGAGCAAACAGG
rnacentral:rRNA from 1 species